AUUGAACGCUCGCGGCAUGCUUUACACAUGCAAGUCGAACGGUAACAGGCCUUCGGGUGCUGACGAGUGGCGCACGGGUGAGUAAUGCAUCGGAACGUGCCCAGAGGUGGGGGAUAACGCAGCGAAAGCUGUGCUAAUACCGCAUGUGAUCUGAGGAUGAAAGCGGGGGACCAGGCAGCAAUGUUUGGCCUCGCGCCUUUGGAGCGGCCGAUGUCAGAUUAGGUAGUUGGUGGGGUAAAGGCCUACCAAGCCGACGAUCUGUAGCUGGUCUGAGAGGACGACCAGCCACACUGGGACUGAGACACGGCCCAGACUCCUACGGGAGGCAGCAGUGGGGAAUUUUGGACAAUGGGCGCAAGCCUGAUCCAGCAAUGCCGCGUGCGGGAAGAAGGCCUUCGGGUUGUAAACCGCUUUUGUACGGAACGAAAAGGCUCUGGCUAAUACCUGGGGCUGAUGACGGUACCGUAAGAAUAAGCACCGGCUAACUACGUG
rnacentral:rRNA from 1 species